AUUGAACGCUGGCGGCAUGCCUUACACAUGCAAGUCGAACGGUAACAGGUCUUCGGAUGCUGACGAGUGGCGAACGGGUGAGUAAUACAUCGGAACGUGCCCAGACGUGGGGGAUAACGAGGCGAAAGCUUUGCUAAUACCGCAUACGAUCUAAGGAUGAAAGCAGGGGACCGCAAGGCCUUGUGCGUUUGGAGCGGCCGAUGGCAGAUUAGGUAGUUGGUGGGAUAAAAGCUUACCAAGCCGACGAUCUGUAGCUGGUCUGAGAGGACGACCAGCCACACUGGGACUGAGACACGGCCCAGACUCCUACGGGAGGCAGCAGUGGGGAAUUUUGGACAAUGGGCGAAAGCCUGAUCUAGCAAUGCCGCGUGCAGGAUGAAGGCCUUCGGGUUGUAAACUGCUUUUGUACGGAACGAAAAGGCUCUGGCUAAUACCUGGGGCACAUGACGGUACCGUAAGAAUAAGCACCGGCUAACUACGUG
rnacentral:rRNA from 1 species